rnacentral:tRNA from 1 species
UAGGCCAGUAGCUCAACUGGUAGAGCAGCGGUCUCCAAAACCGCAGGUCGCGGGUUCAAGUCCUGCCUGGCCUGU